UUAUGGACAUAGCGAUUUUUUUCACAAUUUCUAUUUGAAAAAAAUACCUAUCGAUAGGUUACGUUAUUCUGGUGAAUAAAUGCUUACCGCUAAACGAACGCCUUUUUUCUUAUUAGCGCUAACAAUUAUAUUUUCGGCUAAAUGCCCCCAUUGAUCGACGCGAAUUCUAUUUUGUGAUGAACAACACUGAUAAAAACAAAAACAUCAAUAAAUUAUGUCACGUGACCAGUGACCAUUUUGAUGUCAUCUAGCAAAGAAACACAAUCGAGUUCUUCUGAAGUUAUUUGUAGAUUUGUUGAAUUAAAAGAUGAAUUCUAUGUUCUUCAAGUCUUGUGCGGUGCCUGAUUGUGCAAGUACUACAAUAAAAACGCCGGAAAAGUUGUUUAUUCACGUUCCACGCACCGAGAAACGCAGGAUAAUGUGGCUUCAGCUUGCCAAAAGGGAUCCAAAGCAUGUUCCUCCACAAUCUAAAUUGUACUUUUGUGAAGAUCAUUUUAAUUUGCCACAUGAUAUGGAGAAUUAUUCUGAAUAUCGUUCGAUGGGUGCAGUGUCACAGAUCCGAAUGAGAGCGGGUUGUGUGCCAUCGAAAUUUGCAACGCGAAUAAUGAGAAACAAAAGCACCAUUACACCCAAAAAGGAAAAAACAAAACAAGAAUGGGAACAAAAUUUAAUAGAUAUUUUGUCAAAACCCAAAAAAAAGAUAGUAUUUAAUGAUGAGAACCUUGCAUCAUUCAAACAAUUAAUCAAUCAAACACAAAACCAAAAAUUACGAGAAUGUCUUGCACGUAUUUUGUUCCAAGACAAAAGUACACAGACUGAUUUUCCGGAAAUAAAGGAAGAAGAACAGUCAUAUGAGACUCAAACAAAUACUGUAUCAUCAAGUCAAAACAGUAGCCCAAAUGUACAAGGGUUCAAUCAAGAAUUGGACAUCAAAAAAGAAAUUAAAGAUGAGCCGUUUGAUAAUGAUGCAUCAUUCCACACACCACCUGAGACUCGCUCGAACUUCCCAUCAUCAUCUACAGAAAUGCAAUGGUCAGAGAACAACGGUCAACAAAAAUUCGUCAUUAAAAUUAAACAAGCAGUUGGAAUGGACACGGAUAAAGUCGUAAUUAAUAUUUCACAAGAAAUAGAAAUGAAAUAAAUUUAAGUAUAUACUAUGUACUUACUUUAUAAAGCCAACAUUAUAUUUAUGGCUUUAAAACGUAUAUGUUAGAAAUAUUGAGUGUUAUAUUGAAGUAAGCUAAAUUUUUUCAAAAACACCUUUUAAUGUAAAGAACUGUGGCAUGAUUAUGGCUGACGAUGUAACGAUUCUAUACAACUUUGAGGUGACUUAGAAGUGUAAAACUAUCCACCUAUUUUGAAAACUGCAGUCACUACAAGCACCAGCCCGUGCAAGUAAAAAUGGAACUCAAUCCAUCUUGAGAAUAGGAAGUUCCAAAAUGACAACUAAAAGAGAGGAAGCUUUGAAGUAAAAUGUAAACUGAUGUGGUAAAUGUGAAUGUGCUCAUAAAACAGUUAAUUCGCUUCUAUUUUCUGUAUGUUAUUUUGCAACUGGUGAAUUAUGUAUAUGUAUUCUUAUUUACGCUAAGCUUAUUUAGAGUAGAAUUUAAAACUAUAUAAUCUCAUUAGAUAUUAAUAUUUAUUGUAUUUGUAAUACUUAGCGAUAGUAUGAAUGAUCUCAUUUAUUGUAAUACAUAGUGAUAGUAUAAUGAUCUCUUUUAUUUUA